GGCAGCACGGGAGCAAUCCUGGUGGCGAGUGGCGAACGGGUGAGUAAUAUAUCGGAACGUGCCCAGUCGUGGGGGAUAACGCAGCGAAAGCUGUGCUAAUACCGCAUACGAUCUAUGGAUGAAAGCGGGGGAUCGCAAGACCUCGCGCGAUUGGAGCGGCCGAUAUCAGAUUAGCUAGUUGGUGGGGUAAAGGCCCACCAAGGCGACGAUCUGUAGCUGGUCUGAGAGGACGACCAGCCACACUGGAACUGAGACACGGUCCAGACUCCUACGGGAGGCAGCAGUGGGGAAUUUUGGACAAUGGGCGCAAGCCUGAUCCAGCAAUGCCGCGUGCAGGAUGAAGGCCUUCGGGUUGUAAACUGCUUUUGUACGGAACGAAACGGUCCUUUCUAAUAUAAGGGGCUAAUGACGGUACCGUAAGAAUAAGCACCGGCUAACUACGUGCCAGCAGCCGCGGUAAUA
rnacentral:rRNA from 1 species